rnacentral:rRNA from 1 species
AUGACUUCUUUUAGUGAAGUUGGAAUGAACUUCCAUCCACGUGUUCCCUUUUUGGGAGUACUUCCUCCGUUCCUAAAUACAAGUCAUUUUAGAGAUUUCAAUAUGAACUUUACCAGAUAUUCCAUUAUGAUAGGAAAUGUUGUUUUCAUGUCUUCGUUUAUUCUUGAUGGACACUAUCCAAAUUUACUAAGUGGUUUGACUAACAUGUUUGAUUUUGUUUCAACUCUUUUGGCAGGCUUAAGGUUUCAUGGAGCUAAUGCGAACCUGAUUUAUUUGUUGUUGGAAGUUUGGGACUCAUAUCUUUAA